AUGACCUCUUAAAAAGCAGAACAAAAUCAUUUAUGAAUGCAGAAGAAGAAAAUGAAUGCUUUUCUCCUCCACCAGAGUUAUGAGAUAAGGAAACUGAGACCCAAAAGGAGAUUCCAAGAUGGCUAAAUAGGGAAAAGAUACACUGCUUUGAACUGGGGAAAAGUGGAAGAAGCACAUUCCCUGGAGAGAGUUGGAGAGAAGUUUGUGGUGGAAAUUCUAUGGAAGGAAGAGUGAUGCUGAGAAGCAGUGUGGAAGGUGCAAAUGAGCUGCAAGUAGCAUGGACAGCACAUAUGACCCCCUGCAGCCAGGAGCUGGAGGAGAUGCCAGCUUUUGAGAGCAAGUGCUGUGGUGCAGCAGGUUAAUGUCCUGGCCUGAAGUGCUUGCAUCCCAUAUGGGUGCCAGUUCAAGACCCAGGUGCUCCACUUCUGAUCCAGCUCUUUGCUAUGGCCUGGGAAAGUAGUAGAAGAUAGCCGAAGUCCUUGGGCUCCUGUACCCACAUGGGAGGCCCAGAAGAAGCUCCUGGCUCCUGGCUUUGGAUUGGCCAACUGGGGAGUGAACCCUCAAAUGGGAGACCUCUCUCUUUCUCUCUGCCUCUCCUCUCUCUGU